rnacentral:rRNA from 1 species
UACGUAGGGACCAAGCGUUGUUCGGAUUUACUGGGCGUAAAGGGCGCGUAGGCGGCGAUGUAAGUCACUUGUGAAAUCUCUGAGCUUAACUCAGAACGGCCAAGUGAUACUGCAGUGCUAGAGUGUGGAAGGGGCAAUCGGAAUUCUUGGUGUAGCGGUGAAAUGCGUAGAUAUCAAGAGGAACACCUGAGGUGAAGACGGGUUGCUGGGCCAACACUGACGCUGAGGCGCGAAAGCCAGGGGAGCAAACGGG